AUAUCUGGGUUGAUGGUACUGGA
rnacentral:piRNA from 1 species